rnacentral:rRNA from 1 species
AACGAACGCUGGCGGCAGGCUUAACACAUGCAAGUCGAACGCCCCGCAAGGGGAGUGGCAGACGGGUGAGUAACGCGUGGGAAUCUACCCAGUUCUACGGAACAACUGAGGGAAACUUCAGCUAAUACCGUAUACGCCCUACGGGGGAAAGAUUUAUCGGAAUUGGAUGAGCCCGCGUUGGAUUGGCUAGUUGGUGAGGUAGCGGCUCACCAAGGCGACGAUCCAUAGCUGGUCUGAGAGGAUGAUCAGCCACACUGGGACUGAGACACGGCCCAGACUCCUACGGGAGGCAGCAGUGGGGAAUAUUGGACAAUGGGCGCAAGCCUGAUCCAGCCAUGCCGCGUGAGUGAUGAAGGCCUUAAGGUUGUAAAGCUCUUUCAGUGGGGACGAUAAUGACGGUACCCACAGAAGAAGCCCCGGCUAACUUCGUGCCAGCAGCCGCCGUAAAAC